CCUACGGGUGGCAGCAGUGGGGAAUAUUGGUCAAUGGGCGAAAGCCUGACCCAGCAACGCCGCGUGAAGGAAGAAGGCUUUCGGGUUUUAAACUUCCUUUUACAGGGAAGAGCUGAAGACGGUACCUGUCGAAUAAGCCACGGCCAAAUACGUGCCAGCAGGCGCGGUAAGACGUAGGUGGCAAGCGUUUUCCGGAUUUACUGGGUGUAAAGGGCGUGUAGCCGGGAUGAGAAUGCAGAUGUGAAAUCCGGGGGCUCAACCCCCGAACUGCAUUUGAAACUGUUGGUCUUGAGUAUCGGAGAGGCAGGCGGAAUUCCUAGUGUAGCGGUGAAAUGCGUAGAUAUUAGGAGGAACACCAGUGGCGAAGGCGGCAUGCUGGACGACAACUGACGGUGAGGCGCGAAAGCGUGGGGAGCGAACAGGAUUAGAUACCCCUGUAGUC
rnacentral:rRNA from 1 species